rnacentral:lncRNA from 1 species
CAAAAGGAAAACCAAUGCAUGAAGGAAUGGGACAUCUUCCCAUCCCACAGCUCCCAAUGGUAGAACCCAAAUUCCUUCAUUUUUGGUGUGGACACUCACCCAGCUCUGCAGCUUGCUGGUCUGAAAAAGAAAAGCGAAAACACUUGGUGAGAGAGUACAGAUUCUCAUUUCACAUAAAGAACCAUUUUUCUUUGGGUUUGGGGACAGAGACUCACCCAGUCUUGCUGAUAGAUCCGCUUGAAAUGAGAAGAAAGGAAGGCAUGAUGAGAGGGAACAGCUUCUCAUCCCAUUACAAGACCCCAGAUCCUUUCAGAUGCUGAUGUAGACUUACCCAGCCUUGCAUCUUUUUCCCCUGCAAAAGAAAGAGAAAAGCAAUGCAUGUUCAGAGAAGAAAGUUUCUCAGACCAUAGCUGUCACUGGUAGUCCUGAAAUCCCUUCAUUUGGGGAACACUCACCCAGCUCUGCAGACAGUUCCACUGGAAAAGGAAAGCAAAAGCAAUGCAGGAUGAGAAGGGAGAACUUCUCAUUCCAUUGCUGCUCCCAUGGGAAGAAACCACAUCUUGGGUUUAUGAAGGGAGACUUACCCAGCUUUGUGUCUUCUUUCGCUGGAAAAGAAAAGCAAAGCAAUGUAUAAUCAGAAAGCAGUGCUUCAUGUUCCAAGCUUCUCUCAUAGCUAGACCAUAAAUAUUUCUCUCAGGUGAGUGGCUGCAGACCACCUUGUUCCCAGAUUGGGAGGGACCAGACUAACAGCAAGAAUCAGCUUUGAGCAAGGCUCGUGCGCGUGAAACUGUAAGGAGAGACACUUGUGCAGCUCUCUGCACCAUGCCACCAAAACACAAGUGGAAAUGAAUGGAGAUGGGUGGAGGAUGUCCCUGUCCCAGAAGCGUCAGUGCAGAGCGGGGCAGCCCUGCAGCUCGCUCCCCGUCCCCACCUUGAUCCCCGUUCCUUUCAGCCAUCCCAGCCGUGUCCCGUGGCCAGGGCAGCCCCACAGCUCGCUCCCCGUCCCCACCUUGAUCCCCGUUCCUUUCAGCCAUCCCGGCCGUGUCCCGUGCCCAGGGCAGCCCCAGCCCCAGCACUCCCCACUCCUCUGUCAGGGUGAGGGGCUAGUCCUAUGCUGCUCUAUCCCAGCCGCCCGCCCUCCCCAGCACAUUGCCUUCGCAUUCCCUUGGGGUCCAAGCACACAUAUACUCACCCUGCUCUGAAGCAUGUUCUUCUGAAACGGAAAGCAAAAGCAAGACAUGAUGAGAAGGGAGAAUUUCUCAUCCCAUUGCUAGUCCCAUGGGAAGACACCAAAUCUUUGCUUUAUGAAGGGAGCCUUACCUUGCUUUUUGCUUUUUUUCCCUGGAAAAGGAAAAGAUAAGCAAUGCGUGAUCAGCAGGCAGUGCUUCACAUGCCAUGGCAACUCCCAUAGCUCGAAACUAAUUUUUUUUUCUCAGGUGGGUGGGCACAGACCACAUUGCAUCCAGAUUGGAACGGCCCA